CACACCGUGUCCGAGUGGUUAAGGAGGUAGAUUCGAAAUCUACUGGACUUCGUCCGCGUAGGUUCGAAUCCUGCCGGUGUGG
rfam:Thalassiosira oceanica strain CCMP1005 To_g17432, whole genome shotgun sequence.